GCUCGUAACGGACGACUGUCUGGCUCGGAGGAGCAUAUCACUAACCGGAGGAGCAUAUCUGUAAGCGGAUGAAUGAUCAACUCGGGGAGAAAGCAAGUCCACUUUUACACCAAACAAUUUGUAACAAAUGUAGUCUUAUUAUAACAAUAAUAAAACUUUCAACAACGGAUCUCUUGGUUCUCGCAUCGAUGAAGAACGCAGCGAAAUGCGAUAAGUAAUGUGAAUUGCAGAAUUCAGUGAAUCAUCGAAUCUUUGAACGCAAAUUGCACUCUUUGGUAUUCCGAAGAGUAUGCCUGUUUGAGUGUCAUGAAAACCUCAACUCCAUGUUUGGUUAAUCCGAGCUUGGAUGUUGGAUGUGGGCGUUUGUCAAUGCUAAGUUGACUCGCCUUAAAAAUGUAAGCUGGAUUAGUCUUUGACUGGUUCCCCUGGGCGUAAUAAGUAUUUCGCUUAGGACACAAGUUCGCUUGUGGCCAGGACUUGACAAUAGUCUGCUUUCUAUACCCUACACACUUGUGUGUAACUUCUUGACAUCUGGCCUCAAAUCAGGUAGGACUACCCGCUGAACUUAAGCAUAUCAAUAAG
rnacentral:rRNA from 1 species